GGGGCGGUAACUCAGUUGGUAGAGUAUCAGCCUUUUAAGCUGAGAGUCGUGGGUUCGAGUCCCACCCGCCUCA
rnacentral:tRNA from 1 species